AUCGUGAUGGGGAUAGAUUAUUGCAAUUAUUAAUCUUGAACGAGGAAUUCCUAGUAAGCGCGAGUCAUCAGCUCGUGCUGAUUACGUCCCUGCCCUUUGUACACACCGCCCGUCGCUCCUACCGAUUGGGUGUUCCGGUGAAUAACUCGGACUGCUGCAGUCUUCUGCUUCUGAAAACUGUGGCGGAAAGUGUGGUGAAUCUUAACACC
rnacentral:rRNA from 1 species